rnacentral:rRNA from 1 species
UACGAGGGGGGCGAGCGUUGUUCGGAAUUAUUGGGCGUAAAGGGUGCGUAGGCGGUUUUGUAAGUCUUAUGUGAAAUCUACAGGCUCAACUUGUAGUCUGCAUGAGAAACUGCAGGGCUUGAGUAUGGGAGAGGUGAGUGGAAUUCCUGGUGUAGCGGUGAAAUGCGUAGAUAUCAGGAGGAACACCUGUGGCGAAAGCGGCUCACUGGCCCGAUACUGACGCUGAGGCACGAAAGCGUGGGGAGCAAACAGG